rnacentral:rRNA from 1 species
AGUCGAGCGAGUCUGCCUUGAAGAUCGGAGUGCUUGCACUCUGUGAAACAAGAUACAGGCUAGCGGCGGACGGGUGAGUAACACGUGGGUAACCUGCCCAAGAGAUCGGGAUAACACCUGGAAACAGAUGCUAAUACCGGAUAACAACAGAUGAUGCCUAUCAACUGUUUAAAAGAUGGUUCUGCUAUCACUCUUGGAUGGACCUGCGGUGCAUUAGCUAGUUGGUAGGGUAACGGCCUACCAAGGCGAUGAUGCAUAGCCGAGUUGAGAGACUGAUCGGCCACAUUGGGACUGAGACACGGCCCAAACUCCUACGGGAGGCAGCAGUAGGGAAUCUUCCACAAUGGACGCAAGUCUGAUGGAGCAACGCCGCGUGAGUGAAGAAGGGUUUCGGCUCGUAAAGCUCUGUUGUUGGUGAAGAAGGACAGGGGUAGUAACUGACCUUUGUUUGACGGUAAUCAAUUAGAAAGUCACGGCUAACUACGUGCCAGCAGCCGCGGUAAUACGUAGGUGGCAAGCGUUGUCCGGAUUUAUUGGGCGUAAAGCGAGUGCAGGCGGCUCGAUAAGUCUGAUGUGAAAGCCUUCGGCUCAACCGGAGAAUUGCAUCAGAAACUGUCGAGCUUGAGUACAGAAGAGGAGAGUGGAACUCCAUGUGCAGCGGUGAAAUGCGUAGAUAUAUGGAAGAACACCGGUGGCGAAGGCGGCUCUCUGGUCUGUUACUGACGCUGAGGCUCGAAAGCAUGAGUAGCGAACAGGAUUAGAUACCCUGGUAGUCCAUGCCGUAAACGAUGAGUGCUAAGUGUUGGGAGGUUUCCGCCUCUCAGUGCUGCAGCUAACGCAUUAAGCACUC